AAACCGCUUAGGGGUUAAACCCGAUGAACCUGAAUAUCUGAAAUGAGAAAUUCAAUAAUUUUUUUAUGUUUUAUUUGAAUUUAUGAAAACAUAAAUGUUAUGCACUUUUCUCAUAGUAAGACAUUGCAAUCCAUUAGUAUUUUAAAUUUAAAUUUAGUUUAUUAAAAGGCCCGUUUGUUUAGUUUAUUCUAUCUGUAGCAAUAUAUUUUAUUGUUAUAUGAAUAAUAGCAAAAUUUGGUGUCCUAAUAAACAGCUGAUGGAAUUUAAAAAUCAUGCAAGCAUAAUUUAUUUAUGUAUUACGAUAUUAUAAUAUAUAUAAUAUGCAUGUAAUAGCAUGUAUUUGAUUAGCAAUGCGAUAGAUUUGGGAUACCUUCGGGACCCGUCUUGAAACACGGACCAAGAAGUCUAACAUGUGUGCAAGUCAUGGGGUAUAUUUGAAACCUAAAGGCGCAAUUAAAAUAACUAUAAUGGGAUUACAAGUAAAUUAUAUAUAAGUUACUUCUCCAUCCCGGGGCGUUCUAUAUUGAACAUGUUUUAAGCAAUUAAAACCUCUGUUCAAGAGCGUACCUUGAGCAUACAUGCUGUGACCCGAAAGAUGGUGAACUAUACCUGACCAGGUUGAAGUCAGGGGAAACCCUGAUGGAGGACCGAAGCAGUUCUGACGUGCAAAUCGAUUGUCAGAGUUAGGUAUAGGAGCGAAAGACUUAUCGAAUUAUCUAGUAGCUGGUUCCCUCCGAAGUUUCUCUCAGGAUAGCUGGUGCAAUAAAAAUUCUAAUAUAUAAUCUUAUCUGGUAAAGCGAAUGAUUAGAGGCCUUGGGGCCGAAACGACCUCAACCUAUUCUCAAACUUUAAAUGGGUAAGAACCUCAUCUUUCUUGAUGUGAAGAUAUAGAGGUUUAGAUAUAUUGUGCCCAGUGGGCCACUUUUGGUAAGCAGAACUGGCGCUGUGGGAUGAACCAAACGUGAUGUUACGGCGCCAAAAUUAAUGACUCAUAUUGAUACCAUGAAAGGUGUUGCUUGCUUAAAACAGCAGGACGGUGGACACGGAAGUUGUAAUCCGCUAAGGAGUGUGUAACAACUCACCUGCCGAAGCAACUAGCCCUUAAAAUGGAUGGCGCUCAAGUCAUAUGCCUAUACAUCACCGCUAGAAUAAAAAGAUUUUUGCAUAUAGUAAAAAUUUGUGAAAUUCUAGUGAGUAGGAGGGUACAAUGGUGUGCGCAGAAGUGUUUGGCGUGAGCCUGCAUGGAGCCGCCAUUGGUACAGAUCUUGGUGGUAGUAGCAAAUAAUCGAAUGAGAUCUUGGAGGACUGAAGUGGAGAAGGGUUUCGUGUGAACAGUGGUUGAUCACGAGUUAGUCGGUCCUAAGCUCUAUGCGAAAGCUGUUUAAUUUAUGUU
rnacentral:rRNA from 1 species